rnacentral:tRNA from 1 species
GCCCCCAUAGCUCAGUUGGAUAGAGCGCCGGCCUCCGGAGCCGGAAGCACAGGUUCAAGUCCUGUUGGGGGUA